rnacentral:SRP_RNA from 1 species
GUCGGGCGGACGCAGCCUUCGCCAACCCGGUCAGGUCCGGAAGGAAGCAGCCGCAACGAAUU